rnacentral:SRP_RNA from 10 species
GCCAUGUGUGGAGGUGCCUGCCUGUAGUCUCAGCUACUUGGGAAGCUGAGGCAUGAGGAUCGCUUGAGUCCAGGAAUUCAGGGCUACAGUGUACUAUGCCGAUAGGGUGUCCACACUAAGUUUGGCACCAAUAUGGUGACCUUCCGGGAAUGAGGGACCAACAGGUUGCCUAAAGUGGGUGGACCAGCCCAAGUUGAAAACAGAGCAGAUCAAAACUCCCAUGCUGAUCAACAGUGAGUGAUAUUGUUUGGUUCUGUGUCUGCACCCAAAUCUCAUCUCGAAAUGUAAUCCCCACUU